rnacentral:rRNA from 1 species
GACGAACGCUGGCGGCGUGCCUAAUACAUGCAAGUCGAACGGUCUUUUCUAUGGAAGCUUGCUUCCACUGAGAAGAUAGUGGCGGACGGGUGAGUAACACGUGGGUAACCUGCCCAUAAGAGGGGGAUAACAUCCGGAAACGGGUGCUAAUACCGCAUAGUUUUCUUGAUCGCAUGAUCGAGAAAGGAAAGACGGCCUUUGUGCUGUCGCUUAUGGAUGGACCCGCGGCGUAUUAGUUAGUUGGUGAGGUAAUGGCUCACCAAGACGAUGAUACGUAGCCGACCUGAGAGGGUGAUCGGCCACAUUGGGACUGAGACACGGCCCAAACUCCUACGGGUGGCUG